GGCUUCAUGGCUUUGGCCUGGUGGGGCCUGUUCCGGUGUACACGGCAGGAAGCUGUGCUCUUCCUGAUGGACGUCAGCUCCUAUCUCUCCUGGGGAGUGGAGGCUGCUCUGGAGUGGGGCCAAGAUCGGGAGGCCCAGGAGAGAAAAGGGCCUGCAAUCUACCUCCCAGUCAACAAGAUGCUAUAAUAAAAACAUAGCCAACAGUCACUCAGCGUUUAUUACGGUGCCAGAUGAGGAAACAGGUGCAGAACCGUGGAGUAACCUGCGCAGGGUCUCCAGUAGAAAAACAGGCCCUUGGUCAGAUGAAUUUACCCACUUCGGCCACCAGGGGCGCUGUUGGCACAGCUUGAACUCGAGACCAGCGCUGUCCAACGGAAACCGAACCUCCAGCCAGGGGGACUGAGGGAAGGCUUCCCAGAGGCGGUGACCCUGACAUUGGGUUCCCAAGAGUGAAGAACAUUUUGACAAUCAGCAAGGAGAGCGUUCCAGACGAGGAAGCUGCAUGUUGAGGGAUCAAGAGGUCUGCUGUGUGACCUUCUUCAAGUUCCCGACCCUCUCUGGGCUGCAGUCACCUUAUUCAGAAAAUGGAGAGGCUAGACAAGAAAAUGCUGCUAAUCUCACCCUUUUCCGGGCUGGCAUUUUAUUGAGCACCUACUAGGCGCUGGGCAUUUUGCUAGGCCCUUCGUGCACACUGCCAUGAGAAAUCCACAGCAACCCCAGAGAUGGGUUCAUCAAUAACUCACCAACAAAUACUACCUGAGGCCCCACUGUGUGCCGAGCAGGGGCAUAGGUACUGGGCAUACCUCGAUGAACAAGGGAGGUAAGGAUGUGACUCUCCUAGACCUUUCUGUCUAGAAGAGGAGAUGGAGAAUAAACAUGGAAACAAGCAAGAUCAUUCUGGAGAAAAUGCAAUCAGAUGAUGUGCUAGAUGGUAACAGAGAGAGGUCGAAUGAGAGAGAGGGCCGUGACAGCCUCUCUGAGAAGCUGAAAUCCAAGCAGAACCUGAAAGACGAGGAGAAACUCAGAUACAUAAAGACUGGGAAAAGCAUUCAAGUAGAGGGAACAGUGCGUGCAAAGGCCCUGAGGUGGGUGCAGUAGAUACCACAGGCCCCCUCACUCGAGACCCCUCCAAGCACCUCCUGCCCUCUUGUGCCACAGAGCUCAGAAAGCUAAAGCAAUGUUCCCCAGAGGUCCUGUGGCCAAGGUCCUGCAUGGGCCUGGGUGACCCCUGCAGAAGCUUCUGAGCAAGACUGAGCAGGGAAAGAAAGGCCAUGUCAGUAAACCACCCUCCAGUGAGCAUGGAGGCAGAGAGUCUCAUCCUGGCAUCCCAGGUGCUCAGCAGAGCAGACAGCAGCAGAGGGGCUCCCUAGAGCAGCUGGGGGCCCUGCCUGUGCCGUCGCUCUUUCCCCUCCCUGCCCUCUGGUCUGACAUCCCAUUGGCAUCACACACGAUGCCUCCCGGAGGUGCUCUUGUGCACACAGCAGGUCAAAGUGCCAGAGAAUUCGAUCCUGUCCUCUUGGGAACAGCCCUCAGCCAGCAGUGAGCCCUUAGGAGGAUGCUCUAAGCUCUGUCCUCCCCGGGUCCAGAGGUCCUGGGACGGAGUGCCAUUGUGGAAGCAGUGACAGCUUGAUGAAGCUCCCUGGGCUGGCCCCUUCCUCUCUGCCUUGUUCCCCGUUCCCUGCAGUCCUGCAAUCACCUCCCAAAUAAACCACGUGCCCUUGCUGGAAUACUUGUCUCUGGGUCUGCAUCUGGGCACCUGCACGGCACGUGCUUGUGUGUUUCUCUCAGCUGAUUUUGUUCCCACAUGGGCAGAGUCAAGCUUGGUUUCCUGGAGAUCUCAAAAGGCUUCGGGCACCCCCGACCAGCCCCAUUCUGAUGAAAUUCAUGAGAGGGGAUCCCAAUGAUGACAACUAAGACCUGCUGGAUACUCUAGGUGUCUACUCUCAUCAGCCCCUUUCUCCAGGCAAGCUCAUGAGACUUGGGGAUGGCACUGUCCUGGCUCUCGGGGUGAUGGAUUCUCAGGCUCCUGCCUUGGUCCUGGGCUGGCCCUCAUCCUUUG